ACAACAAUGCCCAAAGGUACUUUCACGGCCACAAAAUUUACUACGAGAAUGUCGGUCAUGGUUGCAGCUCCGCUGCUCAGAGCCUGCUCAGGUACGCCGACUGUUUCCUGGUUUCCGGGCUUCUUGUUUAUCUCAUGAACGUCGCAAUGGGCGACGAAAGUCCCCAAGAAAGGAAAAAUCAGCUCUGAUCUAUAUAAUUUCAAGUUUCUUGUUCCACUUAGCAACUUUAAGCAAUCUCAGAAGAACACUGUUCAAUGAAGCGGACUGUUUUCUGGAUCGUCGUCCCUGGCCUUCUCCAAAAUUCCCUCCUCAUUGCCACCCCAACUCUAAUGUCCCUAUAGGCCAUCCUCCGCCAACGGUAACUCCCCCAGGUCCCCGGCCAGUACUACAGCCUCGGGAUUGCCCAGCUCUUAAUGUUGGUGCCUCCCAGAAAAGAAAAUCGUGCACUGUAUGUUAACAUCCGACAUUCGUGGCAGACUUCAUGGCAGUGACGUUAGUUAACAUCCGACAUUUCUGCCCUAAUUCAAGACUUCAUGGCAGUGAACGGCGCCUGCAGGCCGUCGAACAGGAUCCAGGCGGCUUAUUUCCGCAAGAUGACAUUCGAGACGGCGAGGUGGACACGCUUGAGUCCCCAUCUGCCUGUGAAGAUGGGAACUGGCUGUUCUGCCAAGUCCCUAAUGUACGCAUUGGAAUUCAAUAUGCUGGCAUGCGGC
rnacentral:lncRNA from 1 species